AUGAGGCGCCCCUCUAUUUUCUUCUAUUCCAGAUGACAUUGAAACCCAUGGGACUUUAUUAAGGAACCUAAUGAUGACGUGUAGAUUGAAAAGAGAAGGGGACUGAGGGCAGAGCCUUGAGGUACCCCAACAGAAAGUAACGGGGCAGAGGAUGCUCCGGAGAAGGCUACACUAAAUGUACGGUUAGAUAGGAAGAGAACCACGAAAGAGCUGUGUCGCAGAUGCCGAAGGAUUGGAGGGUUUGGAGCAGAAGAGGGUGGUCAACAGUGUCAAAGGCUGCAGACAGGUCAAGGAGGAUAAGCAGAGAGAAGUGGCCUUUGGAUUUUGCUCCUAUCCAUCUUCCUCACACUUAGCCCACUUGGUGAUGGUAUCUGCCCUGGAUUCCCGCUCAGUGACCACAUUCCAAGACAUCAUGUGAUAAAGAGAUGCCCAUAAAAUACUACCUUGGGCACCGUUUCCUCGCAAAGCUACAGAAGAGUGUAUUUGUAUUGUAAGUCAAACAGCACAUUGGAACCACAAGCCUUACAACUAUACAUACUACACCUCCUGAUUAAGCCCAUUUUCACAAUGAGAAAGCAUUAGCUGUCGCACAAAUAUAACACUGGUCAGACUGUCUGAGAUUUACAUAAAAGUAGUUUAGAAAACAAUGAGCUGUUGAAAUGAAAUACAAUUUUUAAAUAUCAGUAAAUUUGCAUGGCUUUAUCAUUUUAACGUUAAACCUUAAAAGAUCAGAGCAAAAAUUAAAAAAGGAUUUUAAAAUGAA